UUUCAAAAGUCUAUAUAAGGGCUUGCUCACCAUUUUUCUGGGUUCCUCCUCCCUCCUGCACGUGUAAUGUGCUGGCGAGUUCACAGAGAUAUCCGAUGAAGCAGAGAUGAAACACAAGGUCCUGAAUCGUUCAGCCAGAUACACAAGCGGCAGCCAGGUUACGUUAGCUGAAAAUUUAUGUACCUUUUAAAGCAGAGAUGACCCCAUCCAUUUAGGUUUCAUGCCUGGCUGGACCACGUCUACCAAAGUCCAUCAUCAUCAACACUGCCUCCUUACUCCAAAUAUGUACCACCAACUGGUUCGGCCUGCACGGAGGCAGCCCAGCAACCCUAAGCUGCACCCAUAGAACCCCAGCCCUCAGUGACACAAUUAAAACAGUGGUUUGAUUGA